GCGGCUUUAGCUCACUUGGGAGAGCGCCAGACUGAAGAUCCUUGAUCUAAACUUCAGGAACUCAUACGUAUUGAAAAUCUGGAGGCACUGUGUUCGAUCCACAGAAGCCGCA